rnacentral:rRNA from 1 species
UGGGGAAUUUUGGACAAUGGGGGAAACCCUGAUCCAGCCAUCCCGCGUGUGCGAUGAAGGCCUUCGGGUUGUAAAGCACUUUUGGCAGGAAAGAAACGUCGCGGGUUAAUACCCCGCGAAACUGACGGUACCUGCAGAAUAAGCACCGGCUAACUACGUGCCAGCAGCCGCGGUAAUACGUAGGGUGCAAGCGUUAAUCGGAAUUACUGGGCGUAAAGCGUGCGCAGGCGGUUCGGAAAGAAAGAUGUGAAAUCCCAGAGCUUAACUUUGGAACUGCAUUUUUAACUACCGGGCUAGAGUGUGUCAGAGGGAGGUGGAAUUCCGCGUGUAGCAGUGAAAUGCGUAGAUAUGCGGAGGAACACCGAUGGCGAAGGCAGCCUCCUGGGAUAACACUGACGCUCAUGCACGAAAGCGUGGGGAGCAAACAGGAUUAGAUACCCUGGUAGUCCACGCCCUAAACGAUGUCAACUAGCUGUUGGGGCCUUCGGGCCUUGGUAGCGCAGCUAACGCGUGAAGUUGACCGCCUGGGGAGUACGGUCGCAAGAUUAAAACUCAAAAGGAAUU